UGCAUGCCAAAAUGUAAAGGUGACAUGAGUGAUCAAAAGAGAGGGAAAGUGAAAGGUCAAGGGAGAAACUCUCAGCAUGUAGGUACAGAACCAUUUCCAUGAGGUCAGCUACAUUCCAAAGUGGCUGCGGCACUGGAUGGGAGCUGUUGGGACAUGCUGCACAGCCCAAGACAGUCUUUGAAGAUGAGGAAACUGAGGCACACAGAGAUGAAAAACUGUCCAGGUGGUUGAGCCAGAAUUGAAAUGUUGGCUGUCUUCAUCUGGAGCCCACACUUUCUACCUUCCUGUUGUGUUAUGGCUGGAUGCAUGACCUUGUCAUAUACGUAAAACAUCCACAGACUAACUGGAAAAGGACUUCACCUCAGCCAAAGGCCUUCAAGAGGAUCAAUAUUUCCAGGAUGUUGGUAUUAGCAUCCAUUGUUCGCUGGCUAGAUCUUUUCCAACAGAGCAUGUGACUCUCAUCAUUACAGCAGAGGAAUGCAUUUAUCAAAGUUAAGGAAGUCGUUUGCCAUUCGGAUGGCCCAAGAAGCAUAAAUAUUUAUCAUUGAGCCUUGUGAGAACUCUCUAUUAUAAAAAGAUUGGCUAAUUUCUUAAAACUACUCCUUCAAUAAGGACCCAGGUUAUGUGCCAUGGUAUCUGUAGCUUUCUGGCUGGGUCAGGGUGACCCGCACACAACCCUGGCAGGACGCCCUUGGACACAGUAUUUGCAUCCCUUUGGUGUGCCAAGGUAUCAAGCAUUCACAGUUCACAUUGAAACCACUAAACGAAGAGCUGUGCAAACAGGUCAUCAGUUUCUCCAGAGGGGAAUAAUCUUACAACUGUUACGAAGGGUCAAAGGUAACUUUCAUUUUGAGAUGCUAAUUACUCCAAGAAUUUGAUGCAGGAGGCAGCUGGUUAAAAUGAAUGAGUGCUGAAGCGUUGAAGGGGAAAAUCAAAUAGAUGGUUAUAAUAAAAGUGCAAUAUGCAACCUAAUAAGUAUGCAGAGAAUAAGGGACAAUAUUGUUAAUAAACAUCUAUUAGUCAA
rnacentral:lncRNA from 1 species